CAGCAAUUAAAAGCGGACUAAAUUCCUGGUGUAAAUUUAAAUUAAAUGCAAAAAUGAAAUUAGCUUUUUUAUGUGUUUUGUUAUAUAUUUUACUUUGUGCAGUUGCAGACUCUGCAAUAAUAGUGCCACAGUCAAACUCGUCAACUUUAAAACCAAAAACAACAACAACGCUAGAAAAUACUGCUAAACUCCAGUGGAAAGCAAAAACAAAUUUUACGGUGACUACAAAGUACCUAUUUCGUGUAAAGUGUGUCGAAGGUGCAGUGCUCAACGAUGUAACUAAAGAAUGUAGUGUUCCAUUUAACGUUUAGGGUUAAGUAACAAGUGUCCCUAAAGACAACGAAAUACAAAUGAAAAUGAAAUUCGUUUUUUUAUGUGUAUUAUUACACAUUUUACUUUGUACACUUGUAAACUCUGCAACAACAGUGUUAAACACAAACCCUUCAAAUUUAAAACCUGAAACAUCAAGAACUGUAGAAAGUACUACUGAACUCCAGUGGACCAAAAAAGAAUCAUUUACGCUGGCCCCGAAGAACAUAGUUCGUGCAAAUUGUGUUCAAGGUUACGUUUACAACGAAUUAGAAGGGAAAUGUGUCCCUAUAUUUAACCUGACGAUAAGUAUUAACAAACAGUUUUAGUAAAGAUAGUGAAGUAGUCAUUCUUCUCCGUGAAGAUGAAGUCCUUGUUGUGUGUAGUUAUUUGUGUGUGUCUUCUGCAAGUAACCCUUGUAGAAUCUGGUGCAAUCAUUGAAAAAAUCAAAAGCGGCGCUUCAAAAGUGAAACAAGGCGUUCACUGCGGGUUCCACAAAGCUAAAAGCGUGUUUGUUGAACACGAACACAUAAAGGAUCCUUGCGAUUUCAGUAGCCACAAGCUUAACGUCGAGGCUCCUGAGAUUGACAUAAGAGGACAAGAAAAAUAUGUGACGAAUGCACUAGGGGAUUGGUGAAUCAUUUAAUCUGGAUCACUGUUUGCCAGGACAACGUAGACAAUAAGUUAAUGUUAAAGGUUAUCAUUGAAUUUUUUCUGCGUCCCUGUGUUCUUGCUGCGGUGAAAUUUUGAGUGGGAAACCUGAAAUUCAACAACAACGGAUUUUUUACAAAUUAGAGAUUGACAUGUGGAAUUUUGGGGUAAUUUUGUGUUUUCAAUUUUUUUUAUUUAUUGUUUGUGUUAACGUUAAUGCUGAGGAAGUUAUUACCACUGAGACAGCGGUCGUAACCACUGAGACAGCGGUCGCAACCACUAUAGAAAUUUCCGACUCUCCAGAAAGUUUUGAUGACAGCUCAGCAGAGCAAACCACUUUGAGAGCAGCUACACCGCAAUAUGCAAUAUUCAGAAUCUUGUGUCCGAAAGGACAAUUGAAUGUAAACAAUAAAUGCACAAUACCGUUUAAAUAACAACUGUAAAUAAAGAUAUUUAUACAACUCAAAAUUCUUUAAUUCAGUAAGAAUAAAAUCCAUUAUUUAUUAUUAGUUUGUGAUUACAGGUAAGUUGCAAUCCACACUUGGUGUCAACAAAGCAAGACACGAGUGUGCUGUUUUCUAAUGAAUCAGUGUUGGCAACAAUGUUUACUAGUUUGUAAAGGUCAACAGCAAACGAGAUUAUGUUUCUCCGAAACCACAAAAUAUCUUCUCUCACUACAAAAGUUCGAGAAGAUCAGUGAAUACACGAAGAAAUGUUUACGAUUUCAAAAAUUUUACAGCUGUUGUGUCUUUUCUUAGCACUUCUUCUAUUGUUUGAAGGAUGCAAAGGUGGCACGAUUAAAAACCAAACCGAGAAAGUCAAUGUAACUGGAAUUACGAUAGGAAACAGACAUUUAUUUGACGUUGUGCCUUGCCAGCAGUCACACGUUAAGGUUGACAAUGAAUGCGUUGAAGUUUGGACUGACGACGAUGAGGACUAAAUAUCCAAACAAGUAAAUAAUAUCGGUUUCUUGUUUUCGAUCUCUACACAUUUUCCAAACGAGUAGAAUAAGUAGGUGAACACUUUUAUUUUAAUGCAAUAUGUAAGAAAAGUAAGAGAAAUGUGGUGAAAUGUUUAUUUAAAUGAUAACUUUAAAUAAAAUUAUUUAUGUAACUGAAA